rnacentral:rRNA from 1 species
GAUGAACGCUGGCGGCGUGCCUAACACAUGCAAGUCGAGCGUGAUUUAUGAGGACGAAACUUCGGUCUAGGAAUCAUAAUGAAAGCGGCGGACGGGUGAGUAACGCGUAGGCAACCUGCCCUUGACACAGGGAUAGCCUCGGGAAACCGGGAUUAAAACCUGAUGACGCCAAACAGUCACAUGGCUGUUUGGCCAAAGAUUUAUCGGUCAAGGAUGGGCCUGCGUCUGAUUAGUUAGUUGGUGGGGUAACGGCCUACCAAGAGGACGAUCAGUAGCCGACCUGAGAGGGUGAUCGGACAAAUUGGAACUGAGACACGGUCCAAACUCCUACGGGAGGCAGCAGUGGGGAAUAUUGCACAAUGGGCGAAAGCCUGAUGCAGCAACGCCGCGUGAGCGAUGAAGGCCUUUGGGUCGUAAAGCUCUGUCCUUGGGGAAGAAACAAAUGACGGUACCCAAGGAGGAAGCCCCGGCUAACUACGUGCCAGCCGCCGCCGUAAAAC